UACGAAGGGUGCAAGCGUUAUCCGGAUUCACUGGGUUUAAAGGGUGCGUAGGUGGGCUAGUAAGUCCGUGGUGAAAUCUCUGAGCUUAACUCGGAAACUGCCGUGGAUACUAUUAGUCUUGAAUGUUGUGGAGGUAAGCGGAAUAUGUCAUGUAGCGGUGAAAUGCUUAGAUAUGACAUAGAACACCGAUAGCGAAGGCAGCUUGCUACACAAUUAUUGAUACUGAGGCACGAAAGCGUGGGGAUCAAACAGG
rnacentral:rRNA from 1 species